rnacentral:rRNA from 1 species
CGUAGGGUCCAAGCGUUAUCCGGAAUUACUGGGCGUAAAGAGUUGCGUAGGUGGCAUAGUAAGUAGAUAGUGAAAGCGUGUGGCUCAACCAUACAUCCAUUAUCUAAACUGCUAAGCUAGAGGACGAGAGAGGUAGAUGGAAUUCCUGAUGUAGGGGCAAUAUCCGUAGAUAUCAGGAGGAACACCGAUGGCGUAAGCAGUCUACUGGCUCGUUCCUGACACUAAGGCACGAAAGCGUGGGGAGCAAACAGGAUUAGAUACCCUGGUAGUCCACGCCGUAAACUAUGGAUGCUAGCUGUAAGGAGUAUCGACCCUUCUUGUAGCGAAGCUAACGCGUUAAGCAUCCCGCCUGUGGAGUACGGUCGCAAGACUA